ACCGCCACAGGUCAAAGUUCAACGUAAAUAACCAUCAUGAUCCAGUUAUCGUCUACACAGCAGUCAGGGUUGCUGGACACUGGGUCAUUUUACCAGUCCCAUUGCUAAUCGUAGUGUGAUUUUAAAUUCAGGAUUCUAUCCUCAGACAUUGAGUAUUUGAUCUUGGAUAAAGGGCAUCUCCUUCCUUAAGCAGAUCUCUUUGUAAAGCUGUAUGUGCCACCAGGCAGAACAUGUAAAGUCUUCUGCGGAAGUUUUGGGGUAGGUUUCUGUUCAUUAAUUUAUCCCACGGGCUUUCACCGCUACACGCCACACAUUGUUCUGUCAUAAUCAACCAGGUGGCAACAGAUCCUGAGAAGAGUAUGACCAGUCACUAGUCUCUAGCAACUGGAUAGAGCUAAACUCAGAGAGUAAAUAACUAAAAUGCAAUUAAAUUGCUGCUAUGGGGGAAGCGGCUGACUGCAAGGUCAGCAGUGACUCCAGAGGGUAAAAUUUUGAGUUUAAAGAGGGGUAGAAAAGGCAGACAAAGGAAGACCAUUCCAGUGAGAAGAAACACUAUUUGCAAUAACAACUACAAAUGCGAGGAGUAGUUCCUGUGGCUGCAACAUAGGCCAUUAAUGAAGAAUGGGACCAAACAAUGAAAAGCCUCCUCUGAUAACCUAGUAGGUUUCUUGGUUCUCUUGCCAAUUUGGAAUCAUAGAGGAUUUUAAAGAAGUCCCGUCUUCAAACUCAAACCUCAUUCUGGCUUCUGCGAUCAAUCACCUUUUGGGCUUUUCCGGUUGGCCAGGCUGCCGGCUUUGACACGAGCGCCUCUCAGCCCCGAGUGUAGAGUUCAAUCUUUGUCAUCAUGCAAAUAAUGUAAGAACGGCCAGUAGAAACAUUCCAGGAAAUUGUCCAAUCUCAUGAAGAAAGACAGUUUUCAGAGUAAACAUUAAAAAUAUUUUUGAGG